AAAGCACGCCCCUAGCACCAACAGGAGGCGGCGCGACGGCCGCGCUGCAGUAUAAAAUCAGGAAUUCACCUGUCAAUCAACCGCAGCAAAGAGACGAAACGCAAUGGAAUAAAUAACUGUUGCCAGACAGAGGGGGGCUGCCCUUCUUCUCCUGCGCUGUAGGCGGCCAGGAGAAGACGAAGGGUUUGGGUGCACCCCAUCAAUGAACAGAGACAAGAACAGGGGGUAUGCCACAAUCUGGUCCAGGAGCUCCGUGCAGAUCCUGAGAGGCACGCCAAUAUUUCAAUUCGCCACUAAGUGUGCAAUGGCAGAACCAUAUGGUGCAGCCUAUAUGAUGACCUAUAAUCUAGUUAUUAUCCCUCUCUGGUAUACUCUUUUGCAUAUAUAUAUAUAUACUUUUUUUUUAUCCCUCGGGAUAAAUACAGUGAUGUUAUUGCUGUGCUGGAUUCAGUAGCCAGUGUAUUUUAUUUGAGUGCUCGAGACACUUAGGGCCCUAUCUUGCAUCCGGCGCAAGUGACUUAGUCACUGGCGCAUGUGUCGUUGCUAGUUUACAACUGGCGCAGAGCGCUCUUUUGCCACCUGCGCCACUCGCCGGUAAAUUAGGGAAUGAUCUUGCGCCCCAAGGGGCGGUUCGGCGGAAGGAGGAGGCGUGU